rnacentral:lncRNA from 1 species
CUUUUAGAUCAAUGGCUAGGUUGGUCGAGCCAUACUCAGACCUUAAUAUUUGUUUGUUGGAUGCACUUGGUGUAGCAUGUUAAUAGUUGGACUUAACUAAGAUUUUCAGUGGAGGCAUCAUACGUCUGUUGAAGAGAUGCCUGGGGUAAAACAUAAUUACUAAAAAUUAUUUGAUAAAAUAAUUGGUUAAGAAUCUACCCAUGUAUGCACUA